CGGCACAGAGGGAAGCCAGGUGGCGACACCGCGCGGAACCCGAAAGCCGUUCUCAGUUCGGAUCGGAGUCUGCAACCCGACUCCGUGAAGCUGGAUUCGCUAGUAAUCGCGCAUCAGCCAUGGCGCGGUGAAUACGUUCCCGGGCCUUGUACACACCGCCCGUCAAGCCAUGGGAGCCGGGGGUGCUUGAAGUGCGUCGCCGCGAGGCGCGCCCUAGAGCGAGACCGGUGACUGGGGCUAAGUCGUAACAAGGUACC
rnacentral:rRNA from 1 species